UACGGGGGGGGCAAGCGUUGUUCGGAAUUACUGGGCGUAGAGGGCUCGUAGGCGGCCAACUAAGUCGGACGUGAAAUCCCCAGGCUCAACCUGGGAACUGCGUCCGAUACUGGAUGGCUUGAAUUCGGGAGAGGGAUGCAGAAUUCCAGGUGUAGCGGUGAAAUGCGUAGAUAUCUGGAGGAAUACCGGUGGCGAAGGCGGCAUCCUGGACCGACAUUGACGCUGAGGAGCGAAAGCUAGGGGAGCAAACGGG
rnacentral:rRNA from 1 species